GACCUGAGAGGGUGAUCGGCCACACUGGGACUGAGACACGGCCCAGACUCCUACGGGAGGCAGCAGUAGGGAAUCUUCCGCAAUGGACGAAAGUCUGACGGAGCAACGCCGCGUGAGUGAUGAAGGUUUUCGGAUCGUAAAGCUCUGUUGUUAGGGAAGAACAAGUGCAAGAGUAACUGCUUGCACCUUGACGGUACCUAACCAGAAAGCCACGGCUAACUACGUGCCCGCAGCCGCGGUAAUUCGUAGGUGGCAAGCGUUGUCUGGAAUUAUUGGGCGUAAAGGGCUCGCAGGCGGUUUCUUAAGUCUGAUGUGAAAGCCCCCGGCUCAACCGGGGAGGGUCAUUGGAAACUG
rnacentral:rRNA from 1 species